UCAAGCCCAAUUGACAUAAGUGAGAUAGUAAGAGAAGGUUAGGGUUUUAGAGGUUACUAUUUUCAUUUGGGGGAAAAAAUAGGAAGAAGAGAAAAGAGGCAAAAGGGAAGAGAACAAUGGUGGAAGAGAAAAGCUAGAAGAAACCUCAUUUUCGCAGCAAGUUUCAGCAUUGAGUCACCUUAGCAAAACAGAUGUAUCUCUCAAUCCAACCGUUGGAUCGUCGCGUGGUUUUGACACAACGUUCCUGACUCAUAGAGGUGUGUCUCCAAAUUAUGUUUGAAGGAUUUAUUUUGGAGAAAAGCUUAGAGCUAUGGUGAAAGAGUUCAUAUUUGCCAAGGUACUCAAGUAUAACUGUGGAAGUUUGUAGAUUCAUCGUAUCUGGUUGGUGUGUCGCUCUGAUACGUAGCACUCGGGGGUUGUCUAUAUUGUUGUUUCUAUGUUGUUCAUGUUUUAGUUGUUGAGUUCCAAAUUGGAUAAUGAGAAGUACUAUGAUGUUUGAAGUUGUUUCCGAUUAAAUAAGAUGAUUUGUUUAUAAAUUCGAAUGUUAUGAUUCCGCUGCAUAUUAAAAUGAAGUUGGUUUGUCUAAGAGCUGUUAUAAGUUGUUUUGUGCUUCUCUGAGAUUAAAGUGCUAUGUAUCUGUUUAUGAGUUGUUUAUAGGAAGUAAAUGUGAUAUCCCAAAUGCUUG